GCGACGCCGCGUGAGGGAUGAAGGUCUUCGGAUUGUAAACCUCUUUCAGUAGGGAAGAAGCGAAAGUGACGGUACCUAAAGAAGAAGCACCGGCUAACUAUGUGCCAGCAGCCGCGGUAAUACAUAGGGUGCAAGCGUUGUCCGGAAUUAUUGGGCGUAAAGAGCUCGUAGGUCGUUUGUCGCGUCGAUUGUGAAAAUCUGAGGCUCAACCUCAGACCUGCAGUCGAUACGGGCAAACUAGAGUGUGGUAGGGGAGACUGGAAUUCCUGGUGUAGCGGUGGAAUGCGCAGAUAUCAGGAGGAACACCAAUGGCGAAGGCAGGUCUCUGGGCCAUAACUGACACUGAGGAGCGAAAGUGCGGGGAGCGAACAGGAUUAGAUACCCUGGUAGUCCGCACCGUAAACGGUGGGCACUAGUUGUGGGAACCUUCCACGGUUUCCGCGACGCAGCAAACGCAUUAAGUGCCCCGCCUGGGGAGUACGAUCGCAAGAUUA
rnacentral:rRNA from 1 species